CUCCCCGAGAACAAUUCUGUUCAAUGUUGACGAGAAGCACCGUGCCAUGGAUGUGAAAGAGAGGAAACCUUACCGAUCCUUGACCAGGCGGUGCGACACAGAGCGUCGAUAUACCAGCAACUUGGCUGACAGUGAUGAAAGCAAAAUGCAACCCAAGUCUUACAGCUCCAGCGAGACGUUGAAAGCUUACGACCAAGACUCAAGGCUGUCCUACAGCAAUCGAGUGAAGGAAAUGGUCCAUCAGGAGGUCGAUGAGUUUUGCCGAACUGGUGGCAGUUUCACUCUACAGAACUGGGUCUUGUGAAGUCACACCUCCCCAUGAACACUAUACGGACUGAUAUUGGUCUGCCACAUUGCGGCUAUUCUAUGACUGGAGAAAACGAUGCAGACAAUGAAGCUGACUGUGUCUUAUCACCAGAACAACCGGUGAGACUCUGGACAAGAAACGCCAAGUCUGGACGUAGCUCAUGCUUGUCUAGCAGAGCCAACUCAAACCUUACCCUCACCGACACGGAGCACGAAAACACCGAAAAUGAUCUUCAAGAUGUGGAGUUGAUGAAUCCUGCUCUAGAACAGUGUUUUCCAACCACAGUCCUUGGGGACAGUCAACCGUUCCAGUUUUCAGGAUAUACCCACAGGAGCAC